UACGUAGGGGGCAAGCGUUAUCCGGAUUCACUGGGUGUAAAGGGAGCGUAGACGGCGACGCAAGUCUGGAGUGAAAGCCCGGGGCCCAACCCCCGGACUGCUCUGGAAACUAUGUUACUGGAGUGCAGGAGAGGUAAGCGGAAUUCCUGGUGUAGCGGUGAAAUGCGUAGAUAUCAGGAGGAACACCGGCGGCGAAGGCGGCUUACUGGACUGUAACUGACGUUGAGGCUCGAAGGCGUGGGGAGCAAACAGG
rnacentral:rRNA from 1 species